CAGCCGCCGCGGGAAUACGAAGGGUGCAAGCGUUACUCGGAAUUACUGGGCGUAAAGCGUGCGUAGGUGGUGGUUUAAGUCCGUUGUGAAAGCCCUGGGCUCAACCUGGGAAUUGCAGUGGAUACUGGGUCACUAGAGUGUGGUAGAGGAUAGUGGAAUUUCCGGUGUAGCAGUGAAAUGCGUAGAGAUCGGAAGGAACAUCUGUGGCGAAGGCGACUAUCUGGGCCAGCACUGACACUGAGGCACGAAAGCGUGGGGAGCAAACAGGAUUAGAUACCCGGGUAGUCCCUGUCUCUUAUAC
rnacentral:rRNA from 1 species